CCUGGGGCUGUGCAGGUGCAAUUCGAGUAGGAUCUGGUCCCUCCUUAGAGCGGCCUGGAGCUUGCUAAUUGCUAACGUUCUGGUGCCUGUUUACCCGCCCUUUUUCACAGCUUUGACCAGCGGUGCCCCUUGCGAUGCGCAGAAGAGCUAAAAGCCAUUGGUGCUGAGCAGUUCAGCCAACUUUGCAAUUAGUACUUCUGCCAUGCAAAUCUUCCCUCUACACCGAAGCAUCUACGUGCUGACAUCAGCAGUGACACAACACCAAACUUUCGUGAUAUUGGGAUGCAGUCACCAUCUGUUUCAAGGACCUAGACCCAGUUAUGAGAGCUGAUAUUUAGAGUUGAGUCCCAGAGCUGAAGGCUGGAUCCAGUGACUGAGUAACCUGUUCUUGUUUUAUACAAUCCUCUGAAAAUAUUAAUCAUACCUUAUUUUAAA